AAAUAUAAAAAGGACAAAUAAGAACAAAGAAAAAAUAAUAGUCAAUAUUUAGAUCGAAACAAGAAAGAAGAUCAUGAUAAAGAAAGAGGAAGAAAGGAUGCUUACAAAUAACACGCAUGCACGUAGGAAGAUCGAUUCUCGAGCAAUCGCGCGAGUGCGUGGGGACCAGUGUUCGCCCCCGUUGACUCGUUGACUCACUGACUCUUGACGGACUUACCGUUAACCAGCAAAAGUGAACCAAGAAGAAUUGUGAAAAUAAUGUAGGAACUGUAAAAGCGCAGA